UGCAGGGAAGCAGCCCAGCACCUGAAGAAAAUGCCAUAGCAGUAAUUCAGUGAAUUCUUCUGAGGACCUUGUGAUGCCCUCACUGCCUGUGACCCUGCUGCCUGGGAGCUCAGGGCUGCCAUAAAGUUUGAGGACCAUAGAUUAGGAAAUGUAACACCAGUGACACCACAGUCUGGACCCACUUGAGGAAUAUGUGCAGCUCCUAUUGCCAUGGGACAUGUUUUCUUACAGUGUUUGGUGCUGAGCUCCUUGAGACAUCCUUAAGAGAUUUCCUGUGUGUCUGUAAAAACAGCUCUGGCCAAGGAACGAGGCACCUCUAAUGUCAUCCUGGAGCAGAUGAUGUCUCAGUUUUCCCUCUGUGAACCACGUGAGACCCACUGAAU